UACGUAGGGCGCAAGCGUUGUCCGGAAUUAUUGGGCGUAAAGAGCUCGUAGGCGGUCUGUUGCGUCCGCUGUGAAAUCCCGGGGCUUAACCCCGGGCGUGCAGUGGAUACGGGCUGGCUGGAGGCAGGUAGGGGAGAACGGAAUUCCCGGUGUAGCGGUGAAAUGCGCAGAUAUCGGGAGGAACACCGGUGGCGAAGGCGGUUCUCUGGGCCUGUACUGACGCUGAGGAGCGAAAGCGUGGGGAGCGAACAGG
rnacentral:rRNA from 1 species